ACCGGGUGUGGUGGUGUGUGCCUGUAGUCCCAGCUACUUGGGAGGCUGAGGCUGGAGGAUCGCUUGAGUCCAGGAGUUCUGGGCUAUAGUGCGCUAUGCCGACUGGGUGUCUGCACUAAGUUCAACAUCAAUAUGAUGACCUCCCAGGAGCGGGGGACCACCAAGUCCCCCACCAAGACCACAAGAAGGGGUGAACUGGCCCAGGUCGGAAAUGGAGCAGGUCAAAACUCCCAUGCUGUUCAGUAGUGGGAACACACCUGUGAAUAGCCACUGCAUUCCAGCCUGGGCAACAUAGCGAGACCCCAUCUCU
ensembl:misc_RNA Metazoa_SRP Metazoan signal recognition particle RNA